CGCGAACGCUGGCGGCAGGCCUAACACAUGCAAGUCGAACGAACUCUUCGGAGUUAGUUGCGGACGGGUGAGUAACACGUGGGAACGUGCCUUUAGGUUCGGAAUAACUCAGGGAAACUUGUGCUAAUACCGAAUGUGCCCUUCGGGGGAAAGAUUUAUCGCCUUUAGAGCGGCCCGCGUCUGAUUAGCUAGUUGGUGAGGUAAAGGCUCACCAAGGCGACGAUCAGUAGCUGGUCUGAGAGGAUGAUCAGCCACAUUGGGACUGAGACACGGCCCAAACUCCUACGGGAGGCAGCAGUGGGGAAUCUUGCGCAAUGGGCGAAAGCCUGACGCAGCCAUGCCGCGUGAAUGAUGAAGGUCUUAGGAUUGUAAAAUUCUUUCACCGGGGACGAUAAUGACGGUACCCGGAGAAGAAGCCCCGGCUAACUUCGUG
rnacentral:rRNA from 1 species